AUGUUUCCGUCAGUGAAAGUGGAACAAAUUCAACAACUUCUCAUCCAUCCACUUUCUAGGUCUCUCUCUCGAUACCGCCACCACCCGUAACCGAGCCCUAAUCAAAUCGCCGCCUUCCUCCUUCUAAUCAAAUCGCCCAUCACUCGAACAAUUUCCGAUUCGGGUCAUUGGUGUGUGGUUUCUCAUUGGACUCCUCCUGAGGCUUGAUUGAGUCGACGAAGUGAGACGAUAGAACUUAUGCCAUG
rnacentral:lncRNA from 1 species